rnacentral:misc_RNA from 1 species
UCGAAACCCGCAAACGAGCAGACCGCGAACACGUUCACUCCCUGCGAGGCCCCUGACGGCCAGGCGCCCGCGCCUACCGUCGGUGCCCCGUUCCCUGCCCGGCCCUCGCACGAGCGAUGUCGGCCGGCGGGGCCAACCAACCCACGGCGCGGCAGGCGCCAAGGAUCACAACGGCGGAGCGCCGCUCCUCUCACGCACCCAUCCGCGGCGUGCCGUGCCUGGGGCGUGUGCCUCCCUGGAUUGAAUACCUAAAAAAAC